rnacentral:rRNA from 1 species
GACGAACGCUGGCGGCGUGCUUAACACAUGCAAGUCGAACGGACAGGCCCUGCUUUUGUGGGGUGCUCGAGUGGCGAACGGGUGAGUAACACGUGAGUAACCUGCCCUUGAAUUUGGGAUAACUUCAGGAAAAUGGGGCUAAUACCGGAUAGGAGCUACUGCUGCAUGGGGGGGGUUGGAAAGUUUCGGCGGUUGGGGAUGGACUCGCGGCUUAUCAGCUUGUUGGUGGGGUAGUGGCUUACCAAGGCUUUGACGGGUAGCCGGCCUGGGAGGGGGACCGGCCACAUUGGGACUGAGAUACGGCCCAGACGCCUACGGGAGGCAGCAGUGGGGAAUAUUGCACAAUGGGCGGAAGCCUGAUGCGGCAACGCCGCGUGCGGGAUAACGGGCUUCGGGUUGUAAACCACUUUCGCCUGUGACGAAGCGUGAGUGACGGUAAUGGGUAAGGAAGCACCGGCUAACUACGUG